rnacentral:piRNA from 1 species
UGCUUUUCUAAGUUGUGGUUCAAAAAUGUA